UUUGAGACGGAGUCUCAUUCUGUCACCCAGGCUGGAGUGCAGUAGUGCGAUCUCAGCUCACUGCAGCCAGCCUCCGUCUCCUGGGUUCCAGCAAUUCUCCUGCCUCAGCCUCCUGGGUAGCUGGGAUUACAGCACACUUACCCAUUGAUCCUCCUAUCAUCAAUAAGAAUCCGUUGAGAACAUCUUCCAGUACAGAGAGGAACCAACAUCUGGUUAAUUCAAACACAACCCCUGGGAUCAG
rnacentral:lncRNA from 10 species